rnacentral:lncRNA from 1 species
GACAUUUAUCCACAAAAGACCAAAAUGACACAAACAUUAACAACUAUAGGUCACCGUACGGCCUUCAACAAUGAGCAAAGCCCAUACCGCAUAGUCAGCUAUAAAAGGCCUCGAUAAGACAAUGUAAAACAAUUCAAACGAGAAAACUAACGGCCUUAUUUAUGUAAAAAAAUGAACGAACAACAAAUAUGUAACACAUAAACAACGACAACCACUGAAUUACAGGCUCCGGACUUUGGACAGGCACAUAUAUAGAUAAUGUGGCGGGG